rnacentral:rRNA from 1 species
GCCCCCCAUUCGGCCCGUCUUGAAACUCGGACCAAGGAGUCUGACAUGUGUGCGAGUCACGGGCGAGUAAACCCGUACGGGCAAGGAAGCUGAUUGGCGGGAUCCCCUCGCGGCUGAGCCGGACCGACCGUUUGAUUUCUGAAAGGGUUCGAGUGAGAGCAUACCUGUCGGGACCCCCGAAAGAUGGUGAACUAUGCCUGAGCGGGGCGAAGCCAGAGGAACUCUGGUGGAGGCCCGAAGCGAUCUGACGCAAAUCGUUCGUCUGACUUGGGUAUAGGGGCGAAAGACUAAUCGAACCGUCUGUAGCUGGUUCCCUCGAAGUUCCUCAGGAUAGCUGGAGCUGGAAUGCGAGUUUCUAUCGGUAAAGCCAAUGAAUUAGAGGCAUCGGGGGGCAACGCCCUCGACCUAUUCUCAAACUUUAAAUAGGUUAGGACGUCGCGGCUGCUCGGUGAGCCGCGACACGAAUCGAGAGCUCCAAGUGGGCCAUUUUGGUAGCAGAACUGGCGAUGCGGGAUGAACCGGAAGCCGGGUUACGGUGCCGACUGCGCAUACCUAUCCCACAAAGGGUGUGUCGAUUAGCAGCAGGACGGUGGUAUGAGUCGAAAUCCGCUAAGGAUGUGUAACAACUCACUUGCGAAUCAAUUAGCCCGAAAAAUGGAUGGCGCUAAGCGCCGCCUACACCGGCCCGUCGGGGCAAGUGCCAUGCCCGAGAGUAGGAGGGCGGCUGCGGUCCCGCAAAGCUGUGGCGCGGAGCCAGGCGGGCGGCGUCGGUGCAAUCUUGGUGGUAGUAGCAAAUUUCAAUGAGAACAUUUGAAGGCCGAAGAGGGGAAGGUCCAUUGUGAACGCCUUGCACAUGGUUAGUCGAUCCUAAGAGACGGGGGAACCCGUCGAACGGGCGCGCCAGCGCGAGCUUCGAAAGGGAGCGGGUUAACAUUCUGAACCGGGGACGUGGCGCUGACGGCAACGUUAGGGAGUCCGGAGACGUCGGCGGGGCCUCGGGAAGAGUUAUCUUUUUCUGUUUAACAGCCUGCCCACCUGGAAACGGCUCACCGGAGGUAGGGUCGCGCCGGAAAGCAACCGCACGUCGGCGUGGGUCGGGCGCCCCGGCGGCCCUGAAAAUCCGGAGGACGAGGCCGACCACGCCGGUCGUACUCAAACGCAUCAGGUCUCCAAGGGAACAGCCUCUGGUCGAUGAACAAUGUAGGCAAGGGAAGUCGCAAAAUGGAUCCGUAACUCGGGAAAAGGAUGCUCUGAGGGCUGGCACGGGGUCCCCAGUCCCGAACCCGUCGGCUGUCGGUGGACUGCUCGGAGCUGCCUCCCCGGCGAGAGCGGGUCGCCGCGUGCCGCCGGGGACGGACUGGGAACGGCUCCUGGGGGCUUGCCCGGGCGUCGAACAGCCGACUCAAACUGUACGGACAAGGGGAAUCCGACUGUUAAUUAAAACAAAGCAUGCGAUGUCCCUGAGGAUGCUAGGCAAAUGUGAUUUCUGCCCAGUGUCUGAUGUCAAAGUGAAGAAAUUAACCAAGCGCGGGUACGGCGGGAGUAACUAUGACUCUCUUAAGGAUAGCCAAAUGCCUCUCAUCUAAUUAGUGAGCGCAUGAAUGGAUUAACGAGUUCCCACUGUCCUCUUACAAUCCAGCGAACCACAGCCAGGGAACGGGCUUGGCAGAAUCAGCGGAAAGAAGACCCCCCCCCUGUUGCUUGACUCAAGUCCGACUUUUGUGAAAUGACUUGAGAGGGUGUAGUAAGUUGGGAGCCCUCG